UGGCCGAUUGGAAAGAUGAAAGGAAAAGGGGGCGUGGCUAGGCCGCCGCGAGCCAGGUGGAACGGGUGGAGUCAUAAUACAGGCUGCGCGCGCAGCCGCGGUCCCCGCCCACCUCGGCGGGGGGAGGGGCGGGGCCUGCUCUCGCAGGGUGCGCGCGCAGCUGGCUGUAUAACGACUCCUGGUCUCCAUCACAGGAUUCGGAAUAGCUGGCGGGCUGAGAGGCCUCUUUUUCGCCCUCGCCCUGGACCCUCCUGCACUGCAGACCCCCCCGAGUCGGGGGCCCCGAACCCCAGGGCUGAGGAGGACUCAACCAGGACUUUCCAAAAGCUGCCGCGGGGCCUUCCGAUCCCCUCGGCCAUCUGCCACGUGUGACCAGGCUGAUGCAGCCAGUGAGGAUUCUCUGCACCUUGACAUUCAGAGGCUGAAGGAGAAGAGGGACAUGCUGGACAAGGAGAUCUCCCAAUUCAUAUCUGAAGGCUACAGUGUGGAUGAACUGGAGGACCACAUCUCCCAGCUCCACGAGUAUAAUGACAUCAAGGAUGUCGGCCAGAUGCUCCUGGGUAAACUAGCUGUGAUCCGAGGUGUCACUACCAAAGAGUUGUAUCCAGAAUUUGGCCUGGACAUGGACGACUGAGCAGAGGCUCACAGCCCCGUGUUCACGGUCCACCGGGACAGGUGGAUGUGGACGGGAGAAGCAGUGAGAGCCCAGCCAGAGCACCUGCAGCUUUCCAGCGAGGAAGUGUCAGAAGCCCUCUUCUAGAGAUCCCAGACUGAGCCAGGAAGGAGCCCAGGAGAGGCGGGGGCAGAAAGGAAGGGGUGUUCCCAGCUCCGAGGUUCCUGAAAUGGCCCAGUGGCACCUGUGUAUGUGUAGAAGUAUCCUAUUUGUAAAUAAACAUGUGUGAUGUUGGCACAAA